ACUGUUUCUUGGCCUUGUGGCUAAGAUCAAGUGUAGUAUCUGCUCGUAUCCAUUUAACAUUGGAUAUGUCCUCUAUCCAAGGACAAAAUAUUCAGUAGAUUUUGGGAGCACAGAGAUGGAAUAAGAUCUUGGUCCAUCUGCUCCAACCAUCAACCUGCUAUUUCAGUAUCUCUAGAAAUGGUACAUCCCUC
ensembl:snRNA U2 U2 spliceosomal RNA